AUUGAACGCUGGCGGCAUGCUUUACACAUGCAAGUCGAACGGCAGCAUGGGUGCUUGCACCUGAUGGCGAGUGGCGAACGGGUGAGUAAUGUAUCGGAACAUAUCCGCAAGUGGGGGAUAACGUAGCGAAAGUUACGCUAAUACCGCAUAUUCCCUGAGGGGGAAAGGAGGGGAUCCGCAAGGACCUUUCGCUUACGGAGUGGCCGAUAUCAGAUUAGCUAGUUGGUGGGGUAAAGGCCUACCAAGGCGACGAUCUGUAGCGGGUCUGAGAGGAUGAUACGCCACACUGGGACUGAGACACGGCCCAGACUCCUACAGGAGGCAGCAGUGGGGAAUUUUGGACAAUGGGGGCAACCCUGAUCCAGCCAUGCCGCGUGAGUGAAGAAGGCCUUCGGGUUGUAAAGCUCUUUCAGCUGGAAAAAAAUCGCAUCACCUAAUACGUGGUGUGGAUGAUGGUACCAGCAGAAGAAGCACCGGCUAACUACGUGCCAGCAGCCGCAGUAACAC
rnacentral:rRNA from 1 species